GGUAUGGAAAAACUAAGGAAAGUUAAGGUGUGGUAAGGCAAAGUUAGAUAAUGUACACCAAUAUAAAAUUAGAAGUAGGGUAAGGUAAGGUAAGGUAGGGCAAGGUAAGGUAAGGUAGGGUAAGGUAGGGUAAGGUAAGGUAAGGUAAAGCAAGGCAGGGUCAGGUCAGGUAAGGUAAGGUAUGGAAAAACUAAGGAAAGUUAAGGUGUGGUAAGGCAAAGUUAGAUAAUGUAAACCAAUAUAAAAUUAGAAGUAGGGUAAGGUAAGGUAAGGUAAGGUAAGGUAGGGUAAGGUAAGGUAAGGUAAGGUAAGGUAGGGCAAGGUAAAGUAAGGUAAGGUAGGGUAAGGUAAGGUAAGGUAAGGUAGGGCAAGGUAAGGUAAGGUAGGGUAAGGUAAGGUAAGGUAAAGCAAGGCAGGGUCAGGUCAGGUAAGGUAAGGUAUGGAAAAACUAAGGAAAGUUAAGGUGUGGCAAGGCAAAGUUAGAUAAUAAGAACAUAAGAACAUAAGAACGCAGGAGUCUGCAAGAGGCCGGUAGGCCUGUACGAGGCAGCUCCUUUGACCCUAAGCUCCCGUGUAUCUAACCCCACCUAAUAUCGCUGUCCAUGAAUUUAUCUAGUCUAUUUUUGAAUGUGACAAUUGUAUUGGCACUCACCACAUGACUGCUAAGCCUAUUCCACUUAUCCACCACCCUGUUAGUAAACCAAUUUUUGCCUAUGUCCCUGUUGAAUCUGAAUUUAUCCAGUUUAAACUCGUUACUUCGUGUCCUACCCAGUUCUCUUACCAACAAAACCUUAUGAAUGUCUCCCUUAUUAAAGCCCUUCAUCCAUUUAUAAACCUCGAUCAUGUCUCCACGCACCCUUCGCCUUUCUAGAGAAUGCAAGUUUAACUGUUUGAGUCUUUCCUCGUAUGCCAAGUUUCUCAACCCCUGAAUCAUCUUAGUCAUCCUCCUCUGCACUGAUUCUAACAUUUUGAUAUCCAUUCUAUAGUAGGGUGACCAGAACUGAACCGCAUAGUCAAGAUGAGGUCUAACUAAUGCUAAAUAUAGUUUGAGGAAGACUUCGGGGCUUCUGUUGCUUACGCUCCUUGAAAUAAAUCCCAGUACCCUAUUAGCUCGAUUUCUAGCUUGAAUGCAUUGUGCCCUUGGACGGAGAUCAGAGCUCACUAAGACCCCUAAAUCCCUCUCGCACCCAGACCUACUUAUGAGAGUGUCAUUUAAGCAAUAGUUGUGUGAGGGGUUGUUCCUACCUACACUCAGAAUACUGCACUUCCCUACAUUGAACUCCAUCUGCCAUUUAUCCGCCCAGUCAUAUAAUCUGUUAAGUUCACCUUGGAGAAUACUAGCGUCCUGAUCCGACUCAAUUACUCUACCGAUCUUGGUAUCAUCUGCAAAUUUACUAACAUCACUACUAAUUCCUGUAAUGUAAAUCAAUAUAAAAUUAGAAGUAGGGUAAGGUAGGGCAAGGUAAGGUAAGGUAAGGUAGGGUAUGGUAAGGUAAGGUAAGGUAAGGUAAGGUAAGGUAAGGUAAUUUAUGGUUGGGCCAAAGAAGGAGAUCAGUCAGGUAUUUAGGAGUGGUAUUUUUAGUCCAUGGUUGAGGAGAAGGGUUAAACUGCCACCAGGAAUAACCCCACUUUGUUGUGUAGAAAGUCUCAUUAGUAAGGAAGCAUAGAUGAGUUUUCUGAGUCAAGAUGCGUAGCGAUUGGGUUUUGUUAAAUUAUGUUAGGUUAAAUUCAGGGUAUCUUCAAACACAUGAUAGCCAGCACCUUAUGGUAUAAAUCAACAAAGAAUGAUCCCACUUUGUUUUAUAGAAAGUCUCAUUAGUAAGGAAGCAUAGAUGAGUUUUCUGAGUCAAGACCUAUAUAGUGACUGGGUUUUGUUAAGUUAGGUUAAAUUCAGGAUAUCUUUCAACACAUGAUGGCCAGCACCCUAUGGUAUAAAUCAACAAGGAAUGACCUCACUUUGUUGUAUAGAAAGUUGGUCUCUCUCUCUCUCUCUCUCUCUCUCUUAUUCCCUUUCUUUUUUCCUAUUAAUUUUUCUUCCAUUUUUCCGUCAUUAUUUUACUUUUAUUUUUAUUCUCUUAAUCGUUCCUCUCUUCCA